GUAGUACCCCUCCGUCCGAAAAUACUUGUCAUUAAAAUAGGCAAAAAAAGAUGUAUCUAGAACUAAAAUAUAUCUAAAUACAUCCUUUUUUAUUCAUUUUGAUGACAAGUAUUUCCGUACGGAGGGAGUAAUAG
rfam:Triticum aestivum genome assembly, contig: Triticum_aestivum_CS42_TGACv1_scaffold_194883_3AL